rnacentral:rRNA from 1 species
CUGGCUCAGGAUGAACGCUAGCGGCAGGCUUAACACAUGCAAGUCGAGGGGCAUCGGGAGUAGCAAUACUGCCGGCGACCGGCGCAAGGGUGCGUAACGCGUGAGCAACAUGCCCGUAUCAGGGGGAUAAUCCAUGGAAACGUGGUCUAAUACCCCAUAGUAAUUAUGUAAGGCAUCUUAUAUAAUUUAAAGCUUUGGUGGAUACGGAUUGGCUCGCGUGACAUUAGCUAGAUGGUAAGGUAACGGCUUACCAUGGCUACGAUGUCUAGGGGUUCUGAGAGGAAGGUCCCCCACACUGGAACUGAGACACGGUCCAGACUCCUACGGGAGGCAGCAGUGAGGAAUAUUGGACAAUGGAUGGAAAUCUGAUCCAGCCAUGCCGCGUGCAGGAAAGACGGCCCUAUGGGUUGUAAACUGCUUUUGUAUGGGAGCAAUAAGGGCUACGUGUAGUCCGAUGAGAGUACCAUACGAAUAAGCACCGGCCAACUCCGUGCCAGCAGCGGC